UACUUUGAGUGGUGGAUCACUUGGCUCAUGUAUCGAUGAAGAGUGUAGCCAACUGUGUGAAUUAAUGUGAACUGCAUACUGAGUUGAACAUCGAUAUGUUGAAUGUUUCCUUAUAUACUACUGAUAAAUCCUGACAGUAGCA
rnacentral:rRNA from 1 species